CUCCUCCGGGGCGCAGCAGUGAGGAAUAUUGGUCAAUGGACGCAAGUCUGAACCAGCCAUGCCGCGUGCAGGAAGACGGCUCUAUGAGUUGUAAACUGCUUUUGUACGAGGGUAAACGCAGAUACGCGUAUCUGUCUGAAAGUAUCGUACGAAUAAGGAUCGGCUAACUCCGUGCCAGCAGCCGCGGUAAUACGGAGGAUUCAAGCGUUAUCCGGAUUUAUUGGGUUUAAAGGGUGCGCAGGCGGGAGAUCAAGUCAGCGGUAAAAUGUCGGGGCUCAACCCCGGCCGGCCGUUGAAAACGGUUU
rnacentral:rRNA from 1 species